rnacentral:rRNA from 1 species
CCCUUAGAUGUUCUGGGCCGCACACGCGCUACACUGAAGGAGGCAGCGUGUACUCCUGGAUCGAAAGAUUUGGGUAACCCGCGAAUCUCCUUCGUGCUAGGGAUUGAGGUUUGCAAUUAUCCUUCAUGAACGAGGAAUUCCCAGUAAGUGCAAGUCAUAAGCUUGUGCUGACUACGUCCCUGCCCUUUGUACACACCGCCCGUCGCUACUACCGAUUGAAUGAUUUAGUGAGGACUUCGGACUGGGACCGAUGCGGCUUUCGGGCUGCGUCGGUAUUCUGGAAAGAUGUCCAAACUGUAUCAUUUAGAGGAAGUAAAAGUCGUANCA